UUGCAAAUCGACGUUCCUUCCAUCUUGCUUUCGUGUACAAAGUGCAGUUUCGUCUACACUGUUGUACGAAAUAAGUGGCAAUAACUAGUGCAGUUUGACCGUCCAUACUUUAUCAUUUGCAACACAAAGAUUGCUAUUCAAGAAAGAUGUUUCUGUGGGACUGGUUUGCUGGAAUAUUAAAUUAUCUAGGUUUAUAUAAAAAGUCGGGUAAGCUUGUGUUCCUGGGACUUGAUAAUGCAGGAAAGACAACAUUACUACACAUGCUAAAAGAUGACAGAAUGGCCCAGCACGUUCCCACAUUACACCCAAGUAAGCAUGGCAGUGUCUUCAUG